rnacentral:rRNA from 1 species
GGGAAUAUUGCACAAUGGGGGAAACCCUGAUGCAGCAACGCCGCGUGAAGGAAGACGGUUUUCGGAUUGUAAACUUCUGUUCUUAGUGAAGAAAAAUGACGGUAGCUAAGGAGCAAGCCACGGCUAACUACGUGCCAGCAGCCGCGGUAAUACGUAGGUGGCGAGCGUUAUCCGGAAUCAUUGGGCGUAAAGAGGGAGCAGGCGGCCUGGAGGGUCUAUUGUUAAAAGGCAGUGGCUUAACCAUUGCAAGGCGAAGAAACCGGCAGGCUAGAGUUCUAAAGAGGAUCGUGGAAUUCCAUGUGUAGCGGUGAAAUGCGUAGAUAUAUGGAGGAACACCAGUGGCGAAGGCGACGAUCUGGGAAGAAACAGACGCUGAGUCCCGAAAGCGUGGGGAGCAAAUAGG